GUGGGGAAUUUUGGACAAUGGGCGCAAGCCUGAUCCAGCAAUGCCGCGUGCAGGAAGAAGGCCUUCGGGUUGUAAACUGCUUUUGUACGGAACGAAACGGUCCGGGUUAAUACCCUGGGCUAAUGACGGUACCGUAAGAAUAAGCACCGGCUAACUACGUGCCAGCAGCCGCGGUAAUACGUAGGGUGCAAGCGUUAAUCGGAAUUACUGGGCGUAAAGCGUGCGCAGGCGGUUUUGUAAGACAGGCGUGAAAUCCCCGGGCUCAACCUGGGAAUUGCGGUUGUGACUGCAAGGCUGGAGUGCGGCAGAGGGGGAUGGAAUUCCGCGUGUAGCAGUGAAAUGCGUAGAUAUGCGGAGGAACACCGAUGGCGAAGGCAAUCCCCUGGGCCUGCACUGACGCUCAUGCACGAAAGCGUGGGGAGCAAACAGGAUUAGAAACCCCGGUAGUCC
rnacentral:rRNA from 1 species